rnacentral:rRNA from 1 species
GGCCAGACUCCUACGGGAGGCAGCAGUGGGGAAUAUUGCACAAUGGGGGAAACCCUGAUGCAGCGACGCCGCGUGAGUGAAGAAGUAUUUCGGUAUGUAAAGCUCUAUCAGCAGGGAAGAAAAUGACGGUACCUGACUAAGAAGCCCCGGCUAACUACGUGCCAGCAGCCGCGGUAAUACGUAGGGGGCAAGCGUUAUCCGGAUUUACUGGGUGUAAAGGGAGCGUAGACGGCAUGGCAAGUCAGAUGUGAAAGCCCGGGGCUCAACCCCCGGACUGCAUUUGAAACUGUCAGGCUGGAGUGCAGGAGAGGUAAGUGGAAUUCCUAGUGUAGCGGUGAAAUGCGUAGAUAUUAGGAGGAACACCAGUGGCGAAGGCGGCUUACUGGACUGUAACUGACGUUGAGGCUCGAAAGCGUGGGGAGCAAACAGGAUUAGAUCCCCCGGUA